AACGAACGCUGGCGGCAUGCCUAACACAUGCAAGUCGAACGAGACCUUCGGGUUUAGUGGCGCACGGGUGCGUAAAGCGUGGGAACCUGCCCUUAGGUUCGGAAUAACUCCCCGGAAGGGGUGCUAAUACCGGAUAAUGUCCUCCGACCAACGGUUUAUCGCCUUUGGAUGGGCUUGGGUUGGAUUGGCUAGUUGGGAGGGUAAAAGGCUACCAAGGCGACGUCCGAUAGCUGGUUUGAGAGGAUGGUCCGCCACACUGGGACUGAGACACGGCCGAGACUACUAGGCGAGGGAGCAGUGGGGAAUAUAGGACAGUGGGCGAAGGCCUGAUCCAGCAAUGCCGCGUGAGUGAUGAAGGUCUUAGGGUUGUAAAGCUAUUUUACCCGGGAUGAUAAUGACAGUACCGGGAGAAUAAGCUCCGGCUAACUCCGUG
rnacentral:rRNA from 1 species